UAUAAGAUGAACCACCUCCUUACUCCGAAGUCAUUCAAGUUCAAGUGCAGUAACCAGUAGUUGGAAAUCCUUAUCUAGCAACAAACACUUUUAUUCAACAACCUGCGACAUAUAUUGUAAAAGAGCUUCCAAAUAACUAUGGUGCUGCUGCAUGGUUAUCUUGUAUAUUCUGCUUCUGGCCUUUUGGAAUUAUGUCGAUUAUUAAAUCUAAAGAGGUCGAUACAGCUAUUUCACAAGGCGACAUAAACAGAGCUCAUAUUGCAUCGCAUACUGCAAAGAAUUAUGCAAUUGCAUCUGUGGUUUGUGGAAUAUUUUUAGCUGCAAUGC
rnacentral:lncRNA from 1 species